UCCCAGUUAAUCUGGGCAGUCUGAUUUGAGUGCUCGGAAUGAACCGGUGGCAACAAAUCAUAAGGGUUGCGCUCGUUGCGGGACUUAACCCAACAUCUCACGACACGAGCUGACGACAGCCAUGCAGCACCUGUGUAAAGCGCGUAUUUCUACGCUGCCCGGCUUUCACCGGGGUUACAAUACAUGUCAAGCCCUGGUAAGGUUCUUCGCGUUGCAUCGAAUUAAGCCACAUACUCCACCGCUUGUGCGGGUCCCCGUCAAUUUCUUUGAGUUUUAGUCUUGCGACCGUACUACCCAGGCGGCACGUUUAUCGCGUUAGCUUCGGCACGGAAGGGGUUGCCUCCCACACCAAACGUGCACCGUUUACAGCUAGGACUAC
rnacentral:misc_RNA from 1 species